GUGGGGAAUUUUGGACAAUGGGCGAAAGCCUGAUCCAGCCAUGCCGCGUGCAGGAUGAAGGCCUUCGGGUUGUAAACUGCUUUUGUACGGAACGAAAAGACUCCUUCUAAUAAAGGGGGUCCAUGACGGUACCGUAAGAAUAAGCACCGGCUAACUACGUGCCAGCAGCCGCGGUAAUACGUAGGGUGCAAGCGUUAAUCGGAAUUACUGGGCGUAAAGCGUGCGCAGGCGGCUAUGCAAGACAGAUGUGAAAUCCCCGGGCUCAACCUGGGAACUGCAUUUGUGACUGCAUGGCUAGAGUGCGUCAGAGGGAGGUGGAAUUCCGCGUGUAGCAGUGAAAUGCGUAGAGAUGCGGAGGAACACCGAUGGCGAAGGCAGCCUCCUGGGAUGACACUGACGCUCAUGCACGAAAGCGUGGGGAGCAAACAGGAUUAGAAACCCUUGUAGUCC
rnacentral:rRNA from 1 species